GACGAACGCUGGCGGCGUGCCUAAUACAUGCAAGUAGAACGCACAGUUUAUACCGUAGCUUGCUACACCAUAGACUGUGAGUUGCGAACGGGUGAGUAACGCGUAGGUAACCUGCCUGGUAGCGGGGGAUAACUAUUGGAAACGAUAGCUAAUACCGCAUAAUAUUAAUUAUUGCAUGAUAAUUAAUUGAAAGGUGCAAUUGCACCACUACCAGAUGGACCUGCGUUGUAUUAGCUAGUAGGUGAGGUAACGGCUCACCUAGGCGACGAUACAUAGCCGACCUGAGAGGGUGAUCGGCCACACUGGGACUGAGACACGGCCCAGACUCCUACGGGAGGCAGCAGUAGGGAAUCUUCGGCAAUGGACGAAAGUCUGACCGAGCAACGCCGCGUGAGUGAAGAAGGUUUUCAGAUCGUAAAGCUCUGUUGUAAGAGAAGAACGGGUGUGAGAGUGGAAAGUUCACACUGUGACGGUAUCUUACCAGAAAGGGACGGCUAACUACGUG
rnacentral:rRNA from 1 species